GUGGAAGAUUAAGGGAAGGCUUCUUUGAGUGAUUGCCCUUCGCGGGUCAUUAUUUGCGCACUUUCUUCAGAAUGUCUUUUAGUGCUCCACGUGGCCCAAGAUGACUGCUUGAACUCCAGCUACUUUGUCUGAGUUCAGCCAGCAGGAAAGGAAGAGGAAGUUGUCCAAAGAAGGCGUGAGAUGUGGAGCAGAGCUGUGCCAGCAGACCUGGAAGCCUGCAGCGAGAAGUGGAGCAGACCCUUCUGUGCAGCCCGGAGCUUCCAGCCCCACCCAGCCACAGUCCACUGAUCCCCACAGCACCCACAGAUGUGUGAUCUUUAUCGUAAGCCGCUGAGUUUU